UGUCUGUUACGGCGGUCAAGGAUGGCACCAAUGCAGAGGAUGGAGUGGGAGCAGGAGUGGGUGCAGGAGUGGGAGCUGGCACGGAACCUCGGAGCUCCCGGAGCAGCUCGUCUCUCAAAUCUCGGACGAUCUCCUGCCGCAGCUCCCGGAGCUGCUCUGGAUCAAUACGGACCUCCAUAGGUGGUGGAGCUGAGGAGGAAGGUCCGGCAGAGGUAGUAGGAGCAGGAGGAGUGGAUGGAAGGUCUGGAUGGUCUGGGGAGUCUGGGUAGUCAAAAUC
rnacentral:lncRNA from 1 species